AACAAUAGUUAGUAUAACAAGUAGAAAGAAUACCACAUCGAGCUGGAACUGUAAAGGGAGAAUUGGGAUUUGGCUAGAAUUACAGGUUUAGCAGCCCUACUUAUGUGAAAAGUGCCGUAGGGUUAUUAAGAACACCAAUCAGUCAUAACCUUGGUUUUACAUCUUGCCUCAGAAGGCACCUACAGCAGAACAGUGUCCACUAGGUAACAUUGGGACACUAGUCUGUACUGAUACAGAGUGAUGAGUGCCGCUGGCUUUUUCACCAGUGCCACUACCUGAAGCACCUUGUUGUCCUCCCCUCUAAGAACUGACCUUGCUUUGCAGUUGAGAUCUGAGCAGACAAACACAAACGAGAGGAAGAGAAAGGAGAGAGAAGAAAGGCAAACAUCUGUCUCCUUGACGCUUGCUUUAUUCACAUGCUGCACAGCAUCUGGUCCGUAGACAGCCUGAGUAUACCAGAAAUCACAGCCAAAACCCCAAGCAAAGCUAGUGCCUAUUCAACGAGAGGACAAGAUCCCCAGAGGACCUCCACAACCCUAAGGAAUCGCCUAUGCUUCUCUCAUUAGAAUGUCUAGAACGG